rnacentral:tRNA from 4 species
UCCCGGAUAGCUCAGUCGGUAGAGCAAGCGGCUGUUAACCGCUGGGUCGUAGGUUCGAGUCCUACUCCGGGAGCCA